rnacentral:rRNA from 1 species
UUAAGUUAUUAAGGGCGCACGGUGGAUGCCUUGGCACUAGAAGCCGAUGAAGGACGUUACUAACGACGAUAUGCUUUGGGUAGCUGUAAGUAAGCGUUGAUCCAGAGAUUUCCGAAUGGGGGAACCCAGCAUGAGUUAUGUCAUGUUAUCGACAUGUGAAUUUAUAGCAUGUCAGAAGGCAGACCCGGAGAACUGAAACAUCUUAGUACCCGGAGGAAGAGAAAGAAAAAUCGAUUCCCUGAGUAGCGGCGAGCGAAACGGGAAGAGCCCAAACCAACAAGCUUGCUUGUUGGGGUUGUAGGACACUCUAUACGGAGUUACAAAAGAACAUGUUAGACGAAUCAUCUGGAAAGAUGAAUCAAAGAAGGUAAUAAUCCUGUAGUCGAAAACAUAUUCUCUCUUGAGUGGAUCCUGAGUACGACGGAGCACGUGAAAUUCCGUCGGAAUCUGGGAGGACCAUCUCCUAAGGCUAAAUACUCUCUAGUGACCGAUAGUGAACCAGUACCGUGAGGGAAAGGUGAAAAGUACCCCGGGAGGGGAGUGAAAGAGAACCUGAAACCGUGUGCUUACAAGUAGUCAGAGCCCGUUAAUGGGUGAUGGCGUGCCUUUUGUAGAAUGAACCGGCGAGUUACGAUCUGAUGCAAGGUUAAGCAGCAAAUGUGGAGCCGCAGCGAAAGCGAGUCUGAAUAGGGCGUUGAGUAUUUGGUCGUAGACCCGAAACCAGGUGAUCUACCCUUGGUCAGGUUGAAGUUUAGGUAACACUGAAUGGAGGACCGAACCGACUUACGUUGAAAAGUGAGCGGAUGAACUGAGGGUAGCGGAGAAAUUCCAAUCGAACUUGGAGAUAGCUGGUUCUCUCCGAAAUAGCUUUAGGGCUAGCCUCAAGUGAUGAUUAUUGGAGGUAGAGCACUGUUUGGACGAGGGGCCCCUCUCGGGUUACCGAAUUCAGACAAACUCCGAAUGCCAAUUAAUUUAACUUGGGAGUCAGAACAUGGGUGAUAAGGUCCGUGUUCGAAAGGGAAACAGCCCAGACCACCAGCUAAGGUCCCAAAAUAUAUGUUAAGUGGAAAAGGAUGUGGCGUUGCACAGACAACUAGGAUGUUGGCUUAGAAGCAGCCAUCAUUUAAAGAGUGCGUAAUAGCUCACUAGUCGAGUGACGCUGCGCCGAAAAUGUACCGGGGCUAAACAUAUUACCGAAGCUGUGGAUUGUCCUUUGGACAAUGGUAGGAGAGCGUUCUAAGGGCGUCGAAGCAUGAUCGCAAGGACAUGUGGAGCGCUUAGAAGUGAGAAUGCCGGUAUGAGUAGCGAAAGACAGGUGAGAAUCCCGUCCACCGAUUGACUAAGGUUUCCAGAGGAAGGCUCGUCCGCUCUGGGUUAGUCGGGUCCUAAGCUGAGGCCGACAGGCGUAGGCGAUGGACAACAGGUUGAUAUUCCUGUACCACCUAGUAUCGUUUUAAUCGAUGGGGGGACGCAGUAGGAUAGGCGAAGCGUGCUGUUGGAGUGCACGUCCAAGCAGUAAGGCUGAGUGUUAGGCAAAUCCGGCACUCAUAAGGCUGAGCUGUGAUGGGGAGAGGAAAUUGUUUCCUCGAGUCGUUGAUUUCACACUGCCGAGAAAAGCCUCUAGAUAGAUAACAGGUGCCCGUACCGCAAACCGACACAGGUAGUCAAGAUGAGAAUUCUAAGGUGAGCGAGCGAACUCUCGUUAAGGAACUCGGCAAAAUGACCCCGUAACUUCGGGAGAAGGGGUGCUCUUUAGGGUUCACGCCCAGAAGAGCCGCAGUGAAUAGGCCCAAGCGACUGUUUAUCAAAAACACAGGUCUCUGCUAAACCGUAAGGUGAUGUAUAGGGGCUGACGCCUGCCCGGUGCUGGAAGGUUAAGAGGAGUGGUUAGCUUCUGCGAAGCUACGAAUCGAAGCCCCAGUAAACGGCGGCCGUAACUAUAACGGUCCUAAGGUAGCGAAAUUCCUUGUCGGGUAAGUUCCGACCCGCACGAAAGGCGUAACGAUUUGGGCACUGUCUCAACGAGAGACUCGGUGAAAUCAUAGUACCUGUGAAGAUGCAGGUUACCCGCGACAGGACGGAAAGACCCCAUGGAGCUUUACUGUAGCCUGAUAUUGAAAUUCGGCACAGCUUGUACAGGAUAGGUAGGAGCCUUUGAAACGUGAGCGCUAGCUUACGUGGAGGCGUUGGUGGGAUACUACCC